rnacentral:rRNA from 1 species
ACAAGGUUUCCGUAGGUGAACCUGCGGAAGGAUCAUUAUCGUACAACCGAGGUGCAAGGGCUGUCGCUGACCUUUCAAGGUCGUGCACGCCCGAGCGCUCUCGCCACAAUCCAUCUCACCCCUUUGUGCAUCACCGCGUGGGUCCCCCUUUGCGGGGAGGGCUCGCGUUUUCACACAAAACUUGAUACAGUCCAGAAUGUCUAUUUUUGCGGUAACACGCAAUCAAUACAACUUUCAACAACGGAUCUCUUGGCUCUCGCAUCGAUGAAGAACGCAGCGAAAUGCGAUACGUAAUGUGAAUUGCAGAAUUCAGUGAAUCAUCGAAUCUUUGAACGCACCUUGCGCCCCUUGGCAUUCCGAGGGGCACACCCGUUUGAGUGUCGUGAAAUUCUCAAAAUCCUUUUCUUUGAUCGGAAUAGGACUUUUGGACUUGGAGGUUCAAUGCUCGCUUUCGCCUUUGAAAGCGAGCUCCUCUCAAAUGAAUCAGUGGGGUCCGCUUUGCUGGUCCUUGACGUGAUAAGAUGCUUCUACGUUUUGGAUUUGGCAUUGUUUUCUCCGCUCCUAACUGUCCCCAUGGGACAACGAUGGUGCUUCGGUCGUCGCCAUUUAUGGCGGGAGGCUGAACCCACAAAGAACCUGACCUCAAAUCGG